AAUAAAAAAAAACAAGAGAAGAGGGUAUUUUGGUAAGUUAACUUUUGGUACAAUGCAAAAAAUAGAAACUAAGGUAUCGUUUGGUUCGGGGAUAAGCAAAAAGUGCCUAUUCCAGAGAUAGGUAUAAAUUGAGAUAUACGCGGGGAUUAGAUCAAUUUGCGUUUGGAUGAAAAUUGGCUUAUUCUUGGGAUUAAAAAAAAUAGCGUUUGGUUAGAUACGAUAGAAUAAAAAAAAUAGUAGAUUUUUAUAAAUAAAAAAUAAUCAUAUUAUCCUCUUAUUAUAUUUAAAUUUAAAUUUUUAAAUUUCAAACUUUAAAUUUAAGAUCAAAUUUAAAUUUAAUAAAUAUAAAAUAUCAAAUUUUAAAUUUCAAAAUUAAAAUAUCAAAAUUAAAAUUUAUAAUUUAUAAUUUAUAAUUUAAAAUUAUAAACUUUAAUUUUGAGAUUAUAAAUUAUAAAAUUUAAAAAUUUAAAAUUUUAAUUUUUAAAUUUUUAAAAUAAGAAUCAGGGUGGGAACAAUUAAUAAAAAUAAUUUAUUAUAAUAAUUUUAUAGAUUUUUUAAAAAAUUCUACUUAAACUUAAAUUUAAUAAAAAGAAUUUAUUAUAAUACUUAAAUAUAAUUUAUUAUAAAUUUUAUUAUAUUAUUUAAAUAUAAAUAAUAUGUAUUAAUAUAGUAUAAUUAAUAAUUUUAUAAUAAAAAUAAUGUAUUAUAAUAUAUAAUAUAUUAUAUUUAUAUAGUUUAGUUUUAAUUCAAUUUAUAAUUUUAAUUAAGUUUGAAAUUUAGCAUUGGAAUAGUGCUAUUCUAUCAAAAUAGUGGAAUNUUCUACUUAAACUUAAAUUUAAUAAAAAGAAUUUAUUAUAAUACUUAAAUAUAAUUUAUUAUAAAUUUUAUUAUAUUAUUUAAAUAUAAAUAAUAUGUAUUAAUAUAGUAUAAUUAAUAAUUUUAUAAUAAAAAUAAUGUAUUAUAAUAUAUAAUAUAUUAUAUUUAUAUAGUUUAGUUUUAAUUCAAUUUAUAAUUUUAAUUAAGUUUGAAAUUUAGCAUUGGAAUAGUGCUAUUCCACCAAAAUGGUGGAAUAACAAAUUCCUUGCUAUCCCGGGAUAACCCGAAAUAGCAAGAUUUGACCGGAAUAAAAUAUUCCGGCCAAUUUUCAUCCCGUUUGACGGAAUAGUGGGGAUAAUUUUCGUUAUCCCCGCUUAUUCCCCCAACCAAACG
rnacentral:lncRNA from 1 species